UGGGGGAUAUUGCACAAUGGGCGAAAGCCUGAUGCAGCGACGCCGCGUGGGGGAUGAAGGCCUUCGGGUUGUAAACUUCUUUUGCUCUGAACAAGGCGCACCAUGGGGUGUGUUGAGUGUAGGGGUUGAUUAGCGCCGGCUAACUACGUGCCAGCAGCCGCGGUAAUACGUAGGGCGCGAGCGUUGUCCGGAAUUAUUGGGCGUAAAGGGCUUGUAGGUGGCUGGUUGCGUCUGUCGUGAAAGCUCAUGGCUUAACUGUGGGUUUGCGGUGGGUACGGGCUGGCUUGAGUGCAGUAGGGGAGGCUGGAAUUCCUGGUGUAGCGGUGGAAUGCGCAGAUAUCAGGAGGAAUGCCGGUGGCGAAGGCGGGUCGCUGGGCUGUUACUGACACUGAGGAGCGAAAGCAUGGGGAGCGAACAGG
rnacentral:rRNA from 1 species